rnacentral:misc_RNA from 1 species
GGGAGCAUCCAUGACCUUGUCUUUCCAGCCUACGGGAGAACAGCAGUGGGGAAUUUUUGGACAAUGUGGAAACCCUGGUCCAGCCAUCCCGCGUACCGAUGAAGGCCUUCGGGUUGUAAAGCACUUUGGCAGGAAAAGCGGCACAGGAUAUGCAAUGCAACUGACGGUACUGCAGAAUAACGACUAACUACAUUGCCAGCAGCCACCACGGUAAUACGCAAGAUUAGCGUUAAUCGAAUUACCGGGCGUAAAGCGUGCGCAGGCGGUUCGGAAAGAAAGAUGUGAAAUCCCAGAGCUUAACUUUGGAACUGCAUUUUUAACUACUGCGAGCUAGAAGAGUGUGUCAGAGGGAGGUGGAAUUCCGCGUGUAGCAGUGAAAUGCGUAGAUGGAGGAACGCGACCUGAAGGCGGCCCUCUGGUCUUUUACUGACGCUCAUGCACGAAAGCGUGGGAGUAAGCAGGAUUAGAUACUAAUGUAGU